GACGAACGCUGGCGGCGUGCUUAACACAUGCCGGUCGAACGCUGAAGCUCAGCUUUUGUUGGGUGGAUGAGUGGCGAACGGGUGAGUAACACGUGAGUAACCUGCCUCCUUCUUUGGGAUAACGCCCGGAAACGGGUGCUAAUACUGGAUAUUCACUGGUCUUCGCAUGGGGGUUGGUGGAAAGGGUUUUUCUGGUGGGGGAUGGGCUCGCGGCCUAUCAGCUUGUUGGUGGGGUGAUGGCCUACCAAGGCUUUGACGGGUAGCCGGCCUGAGAGGGUGACCGGUGACAUUGGGACUGAGAUACGGCCCAGACUCCUACGGGAGGCAGCAGUGGGGAAUAUUGCACAAUGGGCGCAAGCCUGAUGCAGCGACGCCGCGUGAGGGAUGGAGGCCUUCGGGUUGUGAACCUCUUUCGCUCAUGGUCAAGCCGCAACAAUGGUUGUGGUGAGGGUAGUGGGUAAAGAAGCGCCGGCUAACUACGUG
rnacentral:rRNA from 1 species